ACACAGGACUAACCGUAAGGUUAAUAGCCUUAUCUGAAUUAACUGUGAGAGGAAGUAGUGGCUAACUCCGUGCCAGCAGCCGCGGUAAUACGGAGACUACGAGCGUUACUCGGAUUCACUGGGCGUAAAGGGAGCGCAGGCGGGAUAGUGUGUUAGGUGUGAAAUGUCGGGGCUUAACUCCGGAGCUGCGCCUAAAACUAUUAUUCUAGAGUGCUGGAGAGGUAAGCGGAAUUUCCGGUGUAGCGGUAAAAUGCGCAGAUAUCGGAAGGAACACCGAAGGCGAAGGCAGCUUACUGGACAGAAACUGACGCUCAUGCUCGAAAGCGUGGGGAGCGAAAGGGAUUAGAUACCCCUGUAGUCCACGCCCUAAACGUUGUACACUAGGUAUUGGAGGAAUCAUCCCCUUCAGUGCCCCAGCUAACGCGAUAAGUGUACCGCCUGAGGACUACGACCGCAAGGUUAAAACUCAAAGAAAUUGACGGGGGCCCGCACAAGCGGUGGAGCAUGUGGCUUAAUUCGAUGCAACGCGAAGAACCUUACCUGGGUUUGACAUGUAUUUGAAUAUGCGUGAAAGCGCAUAGUCCUUCGGGACAGGUACACAGAUGCUGCAUGGCUGUCGUCAGCUCGUGUCGUGAGAUGUUCGGUUAAGUCCGGCAACGAGCGCAACCCUCGCCCUAUGUUACCAGCGGGUAAAGCCGGGGACUCUUAGGGGACAAACCUGAAUUCAGGUGGGAAGGUGGGGAUGACGUCAAGUCAGUAUGGCUCUUACAUCCAGGGCUGCACACGUGCUACAAUGGCCGGUACAGAGGGAAGCUACGCCGCGAGGCGAUGCAAAUCCUGAAAACCGGUCCCAGUUCGGAUUGGAUGUCUGCAACUCGACUCCAUGAAGCCGGAAUCGCUAGUAAAGGCGUAUCAGCUACGACGCCUUGAAUACGUUCCCGGGCCUUGUACACACCGCCCGUCAAGUCAUGAAAGCCGGUUUUGCCCGAAGUUCGUGAGCUAACCCGCGAGGGGGGCAGCGACCUAAGGCAAGGCUGGUGAUUGGGACUAAGUCGUAACAAGGUAGCCGUAGGGGAACCUGCGGCUG
rnacentral:rRNA from 1 species